UAAUUCAAAAAUGAAAAUCGUCGAAAAGACACUUCAGUAAGAAUAAACUGGCAGGAAAGACAACAAUCAACUGAUAUUCUGUGUGCGAAUAAAACUACCAGCAUUAAUUACGACUCUACUGUGCUGUGCUAACACUGCUCGCAACUCUGGAAGGAAACUACAACCGAUCAUACUAAAAGCUUUUCGAUUUGGUAAACUACAUUGAUACAUUUGGGUAUGUCCGUCUUACCGAAAUGCAUAUUCUUAAUCUCAGUGCGGGGUUUUUAUGUCUACUCCUGAUUUCAUACCUAACACCUACAAAUGCGGUAUGCGAGUGGUCUGGAUGCGGAAAACGUUGUCCGAGUGGAGCGAAUACCCUGGUGACAACAAGAGAAGGAUGCCGCUUCUUUGACGAAAAGUCGAAGUGCUGUCUUAACGAUCCAGUUGCCUGUGAGUGGACGGGAUGUGGUGACAAAUGUCGAAGUGGGACAACCACAUUGGUCGAGAAUGGCGAUGGUUGCCGAGGUUUUGAUACGAAAUCGUAUUGCUGUAUUUCAGCGCGAAAUGCAACUUGUGAGUGGACUAGCUGUGGCCGCGAUUGUCCGAGCGGAACGACAACGUUGGUCACAUCCGGUGCGAAUUGUAGAGGUUUUGACAAACGGUCACAUUGUUGCCUUGAGGGUCUAUAUGACUGCGAGUUUGGUGGUUGUGGAAACAGAUGUCCGUCGGGAACAAAAGUCUUAGCUGAAAGUAAUACCAAUUGCAGGGGUUCAUUUGAAACGAAGAAAAUGUGCUGCUUGCUGCGAAAUAACCGGUAUUCCAAUAAUGGAUGGUGAUUGCA